GUUUGUACCAUGACCGUAGAAGAUACUCUGGGCCAAAUGAUGUAUUUCUUAUUUAACAAGUAGUAUAAGUUAUAUUGCCAGAUACUUUUAGGCACAUGUAAAUGAGUUUGAGAACUCUUAACCGUGCUCUCUCUUCAAUAAUAGAAGCUGGAAUUUUUCAGUAAAAUCUCCUGCCUCCUCUGAGUGCCCAGUUUAUACACAGAACUGCUGUUCAUGUUAGACGCGCGAAGGCAAGAAGACACAUGAGCGUGCGACAGAGUGAGCAACAGAGAAGCUCUGAACAGCACUGCUCUUCAUCUGAAUGUGUGGGAAAUAAGGUCAAGUUACAGAGGUAGAUGGGAACAUCUGUGAAGUAGAAGGCUAUGACCUCCUGAGGGAGAAAAAUGCCCUCCGAUCCAAACGUUCCAGAGAAGCAGAGUGGCUUUCCGGAGACACACUAUCCGCCCAUGAGGGGAGCACCAUCCCAGGGUGCUCGAGUGAGCAUGACUCCCUGGUCAGCCUGGGAUGCAGGUGUGUGUGCACGUGGGCAGACAGGCACACACACCCUGUCCUGCUGAUACAGUGUGCACGGUGGCAGGUUACUGCUGUAUCAGACAUGCUUUGCACUUACUUCCAGAGUAAGAGCCAAAGUCACUUUGUUCCUAAUUAAAUUGCUUUCUCUCUGCCGUG